AAGAAGCUGAGUCAGGAGUCGCCAUGAUUCUCCCACUCCAGACAGACGCAGGUUAAGAUCUUUCCUGAACAUGCGGUAGUUCUUCAUUUCGGCGACUGUGGGAGCUCUGGAAUGGCCCAUUUCUUCCUGCGUGACGACUUGUAUUUUCCAUGGAAGACUGCCAACGCUGUGUGUUUACCCACAGGCUCAGGGGAGUGGACACCACAGCCGGGAGAAAAGACUUUGUGUCUUUAAGGUGUUCGGAAGCACCAUCGGCAAAGAUCCCUCCAUGUCUCUUGCUUUCUUUCCUGAGACAUAAAAGUUAGACCAGACAACAUAACAGCCAGGAGACAGCGCCAGAUCUCAUUGCAGCUUGUUGUGAGCCACCAUAUGGCUGCUGGAAAUUGAACUCAGGACAUCUGGAAGAGCAGCCAGUGCUCUUAACCUCUGAGCCCUCUCUCCAGCCCA